CCAGGGCCUUGGGUCUCUCAUGGGGGCGGCUGCAGGAGGCUGGAAGGAGGCACAGGAAGCAGUCGGGCAGAGGCACGGGAGGGGCGGGGCGGGGCGCUGGGUGAGUUCCCGGAGGAGCCUGGUCCCCUCUCCUCCCCCUCACCGGAGCAGGUGGAGCAUCACCCCCCACCGCC